CAAAAGCCUUGACUAUCACUAAAGAAAAUAUCAGCAAGAAAUAGACAAACUUCAAUUACAGGAGAUUGUGUCAUGCUGGCAUUGGCUGACAGCUUAGCUGUCCAAGCUCCUUGUACACUCAGGAAAGAGAGACCUCUGUGGAAGGCAAUUCAUGCCAGACUAAGAAAACUGAUCAAGAUGAAAGGAAUAAAUAGCUCUCAGGAGAAUGCCUGCCUUUAUGUACUUAUGGAAGAAGAUGGCUAAUCCUAGAUGCUCAGCUGUGUUAACGCCUAGAUGUAAAGGACUCAGAAAAAGUCAUUGGAUGAAAGCACUGAUUUGGACGCCGUCUGUGAGGCAAAUUUGGUUCUCCAUUAACAAGUUACAGCAAGAGAAAUUGGAACAAGGGAUAAAUGAGAUAUGA
rnacentral:lncRNA from 1 species